AACUAAUCGCAAGUCGAACGGCGGCAAGGGACUUGUCCUUGUGGCGAGGCGGCGGACGGGUGAGUAAUGCCUAGGAAUCCUCCCAAGUAGUGGGGGAUAACGUCCGGAAACGGGCGCUAAUACGCAUACGUCCUACCGGAAGAAAAGUGGGGGAUUCUUCGGACCUCACGCUU
rnacentral:rRNA from 1 species